GGGCUGUAGUUUAAUGUUAGAGCACAUGCUUUUCAUGCAGGAGGUCCCAGUUUCGAUCCUUGGCAUGUCCA